GUGUAGUAUCUGUUCUUAUCAGCUUAAUAUCUGAUACGUCCCCUACACGGGGACCAGAAUAUUAAACUGAUUUUUGGACUUUGGCGGGGUUUCUGGAGCUUGCUCCUGCCCUGCCGCGGGUUGGC
rnacentral:snRNA from 1 species